rnacentral:rRNA from 1 species
GAUGAACGCUGGCGGCGUGCCUAAUACAUGCAAGUCGAGCGAACGGACGAGAAGCUUGCUUCUCUGAUGUUAGCGGCGGACGGGUGAGUAACACGUGGAUAACCUACCUAUAAGACUGGGAUAACUUCGGGAAACCGGAGCUAAUACCGGAUAAUAUUUUGAACCGCAUGGUUCAAAAGUGAAAGACGGUCUUGCUGUCACUUAUAGAUGGAUCCGCGCUGCAUUAGCUAGUUGGUAAGGUAACGGCUUACCAAGGCAACGAUGCAUAGCCGACCUGAGAGGGUGAUCGGCCACACUGGAACUGAGACACGGUCCAGACUCCUACGGGAGGCAGCAGUAGGGAAUCUUCCGCAAUGGGCGAAAGCCUGACGGAGCAACGCCGCGUGAGUGAUGAAGGUCUUCGGAUCGUAAAACUCUGUUAUUAGGGAAGAACAUAUGUGUAAGUAACUGUGCACAUCUUGACGGUACCUAAUCAGAAAGCCACGGCUAACUACGUGCCAGCAGCCGCGGUAAUACGUAGGUGGCAAGCGUUAUCCGGAAUUAUUGGGCGUAAAGCGCGCGUAGGCGGUUUUUUAAGUCUGAUGUGAAAGCCCACGGCUCAACCGUGGAGGGUCAUUGGAAACUGGAAAACUUGAGUGCAGAAGAGGAAAGUGGAAGUUCCAUGUGUAGCGGUGAAAUGCGCAGAGAUAUGGAGGAACACCAGUGGCGAAGGCGACUUUCUGGUCUGUAACUGACGCUGAUGUGCGAAAGCGUGGGGAUCAAACAGGAUUAGAUACCCUGGUAGUCCACGCCGUAAACGAUGAGUGCUAAGUGUUAGGGGGUUUCCUCCCCUUAGUGCUGCAGCUAACGCAUUAAGCACUCCGCCUGGGGAGUACGACCGCAAGGUUGAAACUCAAAGGAAUUGACGGGGACCCGCACAAGCGGUGGAGCAUGUGGUUUAAUUCGAAGCAACGCGAAGAACCUUACCAAAUCUUGACAUCCUUUGACAACUCUAGAGAUAGAGCCUUCCCCUUCGGGGGACAAAGUGACAGGUGGUGCAUGGUUGUCGUCAGCUCGUGUCGUGAGAUGUUGGGUUAAGUCCCGCAACGAACGCAACCCUUAAGCUUAGUUGCCAUCAUUAAGUUGGGCACUCUAAGUUGACUGCCGGUGACAAACCGGAGGAAGGUGGGGAUGACGUCAAAUCAUCAUGCCCCUUAUGAUUUGGGCUACACACGUGCUACAAUGGACAAUACAAAGGGCAGCGAAACCGCGAGGUCAAGCAAAUCCCAUAAAGUUGUUCUCAGUUCGGAUUGUAGUCUGCAACUCGACUACAUGAAGCUGGAAUCGCUAGUAAUCGUAGAUCAGCAUGCUACGGUGAAUACGUUCCCGGGUCU